rnacentral:misc_RNA from 1 species
GUGAAUCAUCGAAUCUUUGAACGCAAAUUGCACUCUCCGGUUUUCCGGGGGAGUAUGCCUGUUUGAGGGCAGGCCUAAUAAAAAUCGACGUUGUUGCUGCCUUAUGGUGUCUUUCGUCGGAGAUGGGUCAUCUUGCAUUUCGGUAUAAGCGACUUAAAAUUUCUUUUUACGUUUCUAAGGAU